rnacentral:misc_RNA from 1 species
GAACUUCUCAACCACAUUCAGAAAUUGUGAUGUGGCUUGGACUUUGGGGGUCUUCUUUGCAGGCUUUCCGAAAGGAAGGUCGGCUCCCCUGAAACGUAUUAGUGGCAUCUGAGCUGCUGCUAUUAGGUGUGAUAAUUAUCUAUGCCUUUGGUAUGCUGCAUGAACAGGUUGCGCUGCUUAUAAUAAUAAUAAUUUGACAA